rnacentral:rRNA from 1 species
UACGGAGGGUGCAAGCGUUAAUCGGAAUUACUGGGCGUAAAGCGUGCGCAGGCGGUUUGUUAAGUCCGCUGUGAAAUCCCCGAGCUCAACUUGGGAAUUGCAGUGGAUACUGGCAAGCUGGAGUAUGGUAGAGGAAGGUGGAAUUCCCGGUGUAGCAGUGAAAUGCGUAGAGAUCGGGAGGAACACCAGUGGCGAAGGCGGCUCUCUGGGACGGUACUGACGGCUGAGACGCGAAAGCGUGGGGAGCGAACAGG